CAGUCGAGCGCGGGAAGCUUGUCUGAUCCCUUCGGGGUGACGCGAGUGGAACGAGCGGCGGACGGGUGAGUAACACGUGGGCAACCUGCCUGUAAGACUGGGAUAACUCCGGGAAACCGGGGCUAAUACCGGAUAAUACAUUGCUUCGCAUGAAGCAAUGUUGAAAGAUGGCUUUUAGCUAUCACUUACAGAUGGGCCCGCGGCGCAUUAGCUAGUUGGUAAGGUAAUGGCUUACCAAGGCAACGAUGCGUAGCCGACCUGAGAGGGUGAUCGGCCACACUGGGACUGAGACACGGCCCAGACUCCUACGGGAGGCAGCAGUAGGGAAUCUUCCGCAAUGGACGAAAGUCUGACGGAGCAACGCCGCGUGAACGAAGAAGGUUUUCGGAUCGUAAAGUUCUGUUGUUAGGGAAGAACAAGUACCGUUCGAAUAGGGCGGUACCUUGACGGUACCUAUCGAGGAAGCCCCGGCUAACUACGUGCCAGCAGCCGCGGUAAUACGUAGGGGGCAAGCGUUGUCCGGAAUUAUUGGGCGUAAAGCGCGCGUAGGCGGUUUCUUAAGUCUGAUGUGAAAUCUUGCGGCUCAACCGCAAGCGGCCAUUGGAAACUGAGGAACUUGAGUACAGAAGAGGAGAGCGGAAUUCCACGUGUAGCGGUGAAAUGCGUAGAUAUGUGGAGGAACACCAGUGGCGAAGGCGGCUCUCUGGUCUGUAACUGACGCUGAGGUGCGAAAGCGUGGGGAGCGAACAGGAUUAGAUACCCUGGUAGUCCACGCCGUAAACGAUGAGUGCUAGGUGUUAGGGGGUUUCCGCCCCUUAGUGCUGCAGUUAACGCAUUAAGCACUCCGCCUGGGGAGUACGGCCGCAAGGCUGAAACUCAAAAGAAUUGACGGGGGCCCGCACAAGCGGUGGAGCAUGUGGUUUAAUUCGAAGCAACGCGAAGAACCUUACCAGGUCUUGACAUCUUCGGAUGUCCCUAGAGAUAGGGAGUUCCCUUCGGGGACCGAAUGACAGGUGGUGCAUGGUUGUCGUCAGCUCGUGUCGUGAGAUGUUGGGUUAAGUCCCGCAACAAGCGCAACCUUUGAUCUUAGUUGCCAGCAUUUAG
rnacentral:rRNA from 1 species